AAGUAGCAAGCCCUUCAAUGGCCAAUUAACCCAUUACGGUAAAAAGGCGAUACUGAAUUUAAGCUGUAAAAAAAAUAUGAACGCAACUUGUGAAGUGUUUGUCCCUUGUUUCAUGAGCUGAAAUAAAAGACCCCAGACAUUUUCCAUGUGCACAAACAGCUUAUUUCUCUAAAAUGUUGUGCACAAAUGUGUUUACAUCCUUGUUAGUGAGCCUUUCUCCUUUGCCAUGAUAAUCCAUCCAUCUGACAAGUGUGGUAUAUCAACAAGCUGAUUAAACAGCAUGAUCAUUACACAUGUGCACCUUGUGCCUGGGACAAUAAAAGGCCACUCUAAAAUGUGUCGUUUUGUCACACAAAACAAUACCACAAUGUCUCAAUUUUUGAAGGAGCGUGCAAUUGGCAUGCUGACUGCAGAAAUGUCAGCCAGAACUGUUGCCAGAUAAUUUAAUGUUAAUUUCUCUACCAUAAGCCACCUCCAUCGUUUCAGAGAAUUUGUCAGUAUGUCCAACCGUUCUCACAACUGCGGACCACGUGUUUUUUGAUGUCAACCUUGUGAACAGAGUGCCCCAUGCUGGCGGUGGGGUUAUUUUUUUUAUAUUUUUUUCACCUUUAUUUAACCAGGUAGGCUAGUUGAGAAAUUCUCGUUUACAACUGCGACCUGGCCAAGAUAAAGCAAAGCAGUGCAAUACAAACAACAAUACAGAGUUACACAUGGAAUAAACAAACAUACAGUCAAUAAUACAAUAGAAAAAGUAUAUAUACAGUGUGUGCAAAUGAGGUAGGAUAAUGGAGGUAAGACAAUAAAUAAGCCAUAGUGGCAAAAUAAUUACAAAAUAGCAAUUAAACACUGGAGUGAUAGAUGUGCAGAAGAUGAGUGCAAGUAGAGAUACUGUGACGCUACGGUCACAAGACACAGGCCUCCUAAUUGUCCCUAGAAUUUCUAAGCAAACAGCUGGAGGCAGGGCUUUCUCCUAUAUAGCUCCAUUUUUAUGGAAUGGUCUGCCUACCCAUGUGAGAGACGCAAACUUGGUCUCAACCUUUAAGUCUUUACUGAAGACUCAUCUCUUCAGUGGCGCAUAUGAUUUUUUUUACCUUUAUUUUACUAGGCAAGUCAGUUAAGAGUUAACUGUCUGUUCAGGGGCAGAAUGACAGAUUUGUACCUUGUCAGCUCGGGGGUUUGAACUUGCAACCUUCCGGUUACUAGUCCAACGCUCUAACCACUAGGCUACCCUGCCGCCUCUGGCCCAGGAGUGUGAAGGUGAACAGAAAGGCUCUGGAGCAACGAACCGCCCUUGCUGUCUCUGCCUGGCCGGUUCCCCUCUUUCCACUGGGAUUCUCUGCCUCUAACCCUAUUACAGGGGCUGAGUCACUGGCUUACUAGGGCUCUUUCAUACCGUCCCUAGGAGGGGUGCGUCACUUGAGUGGGUUGAGUCACUGAUGUGAUAUUCCUGUCUGGGUUUGCGUCCCCCCUUGGGUUGUGCCGUGGCGGAGAUCUUUGUGGGCUAUACUCGGCCUUGUCUCAGGAUGAGGACCUGAGCCCUAGGAUCAUGCCUCAGGAAUACCUGGCAUGAUGACUCCUUGCUGUCCCCAGUACACCUGGCCGUGCUGCUGCUCCAGUUUCAACUGUUCUGCCUGUGAUUAUUAUUAUUUGACCAUGCUGGUAAUUUAUGAACAUUUGAACAUCUUGGCCAUGUUCUGUUAUAAUCUUCACCUGGCACAGCCAGAAGAGGACUGGCCACCCCUCAUAGCCUGGUUCCUCUCUAGGUUUCUUCCUAAGUUUUGGCCUUUCUAGGGAGUUUUUCCUAGCCACCGUGCUUCUACACCUGCAUUGCUUGCUGUUUGGGGUUUUAGGCUGGGUUUCUGUACAGCACUUUGAGAUAUAAGCUGAUGUACGAAGGGCUAUAUGAAUACAUUUGAUUUGAUUUGAUACUGGGGUGCAAAGGAGCAAAAUAACAGUAUGGGGAUGAGGUAGUUGGAUGGACUAUGUACAGGUGCAGUGAACAGUGAGCUGCUCUGACAGCUGGUGCUUAAAGCUAGUGAGGGAGAUGUGUCUCCAGCUUCAGUGAUUUUUACAGUUCGUUUCAGUCAUUGGCAGCAGAGAACUGGAAGGAAAAGCGGCCAAAAGAGGAAUUGGCAUUGGGGGUGACCAGCAAGAUAUACCUGCUGGAGUGCGUGCUACGGGUGGGUGCUGCUAUGGUGACCAUUAAGCUGAGAUAAGGCGGGGCUUUACCUAGCAAAAACGAAUAGAUGACCUGGAGCCAAGUGGGUUUGAAGCGAGGCACAGCCAACGAGAGCAUACAGGUCGCAGUGGUGGGUAGUAUAAGGGGCUUUGGUGACAAAAUGGAUGGCACUGUGAUAGACUGCAUCCAAUUUGCUGAGUAGAGUGUUGGAGGCUAUUUUGUAAAUGACAUCGCAGAAGUCAAGGAUCGAUAGGAUAGUAAGUUUUGCGAGGGUAUGUUUGGCAGCAUGAGUGAAGGAUCCUUUGUUGCGAAAUAGGAAGCCGAUUCUAGAUUUAAUUUUGGAUUGGAGAUGCUUAAUGUGAGUCUGGAAGGAGAGUUUACAGUCUAACCAGACACCUAGGUAUUUGUAGUUGUCCACAUAUUCUAAGUCAGAACCGUCCAGAGUUGCUGGACGGGCGGGCAUGUGUGGGCAGCGAUCGGUUAAAGAGCAUGCAUUUAGUUUUUCUUGCAUUUAAGAGCUGUUGGAGGCCUCGGAAGGAUAGUUGUAUGGAAUUGAAGCUUGUCUGGAGGUUAGUUAACACAGUGUCCAAAGAAGGGCCAGAAGUAUACAGAAUGGUGUCGUCUGCGUAGAGGUGGAUCAGAGAAUCACCAGCAGCAAGAGCGACAUCAUUGAUGUAUACAGAGAAAAGAAUCGUCCCGAGGAUUAAACCCUGUGGCACCCCCAUAGUGACUGCCAGAGGUCUGGACAACAGGCCCUCUGAUUUGACACAUUGAACUCUGUCAUUUGAGAAACCAAGACUGUUGAGUCUGCUGAUAAGAAUGUGGUGAUUGACAGAGUCGAAAGCCUUGGCCAGGUCGAUGAAUACAGCUGCAUAGUAUUGUCUCUUAUCGAUGGCAGUUAUGAUAUCAUUUAGGAACUUGAGCGUAGCUGAGGUGCACCCAUGACCAGCUCUGAAACCAGAUUGCAUAGCGGAGAAGGUACGGUGGGAUUCAAAAUGGUCGGUGAUCUGUUUGUUAACUUAGCUUUCGAAGACCUUAGAAAGGCAGGGUAGGAUAGAUAUAGGUCUGUACCAGUUUGGGUUAAAUUAGGGCCUUAUUUAAAAAAAAUUCAAUUGACUGAUUUCCUCAUAUGAACUGUAACUCGGUAAAAUCUUUGAAAUUGUUGCAUGUUGCGUUUAUGUUUGUUCAGUAUAUAUCAGCGCUCAUGAUGAGACCUGCAUCCCUUCACCAAGCUAUAAUACAUAGUGUUCUAAAGUAUGUUUGCGAGGGAAAAUUCGGUCCUGUGCACUUUGAGCAGCUCUCUUUAUUCGCAGGCCUAUUUCAAAUGGAUUUCUCUUUUAUUUGCCAGGAUACUUACUCAGAUGUUUGGCAUAGUUUCUGUCUGAUUAAUAUCCCCAUUUUUGUGAUCUAAUAGGCUGUUUUUAUACUAGCUGCUAGUAGCCUAGGUCAGUGGUCCCCAAACUGUGGGGUGUGCCCCCCAUGGCGAUGUUGGCUAGCAAAGCUCAUGCGUAGAAACACGUCAUCAGGUCGAAUGGUCGUCUCGCGCUGAACUGCACAUGUGCAGGCCGUCAAAUCAAGGGCACUCCUUUGAUAUAAAGUUGUUUAAAAAAACAAGUGUCACCUUCACGAGGUUGGAGUAAUAACAUGUUCAACUACUUAAGACAUUGGCUUGAAUCUAGGUUCUGCCUUUAGAUUUUGAGAAAGAAUACUUUUCCACUUCUCUCAUUAACUUCUCAAACCAGGGUCCGGUCUGUUUCGCAAGCGUUCCCAGAAGUCUCUAGAUGUUGUGCAUCUGGGUUUGGAAACUCUGUGGUGUAAUGACACUUGCCUAGGUAGGCCUUUUAAGAUCCCCCAACAUGGUUAACCCUUAUUGGAGAGGGGUUAGCAGGUCUGGUCUGUCUACUGGCUGGGAAACCUGGACUCGAGACAUGCAAGUGAUGUUCCAAUGUCACUGUUCGCAAUAAUCACUACUGUGAAAUAGCUGUCGGCUAUUCCUUUAUGAUUCAUUGUGCAAAUGCAGUAAACCAAUGCAAUUAACUAAAUACUAGUAUGUCAAUAUCUACGCUUAUACAGUAUCUACUGUGAAACUGAA
ensembl:lncRNA